rnacentral:rRNA from 1 species
UACGUAGGGGGCAAGCGUUGUCCGGAUUUACUGGGCGUAAAGAGCGCGUAGGCGGAAAUUUAAGCGUGGCCUGAAAGCCCCCGGCUCAACCGGGGAGUGCGGCUGCGAACUGGAUUUCUUGAGGACGAUAGAGGAGAGUGGAAUUCCUGGUGUAGCGGUGAAAUGCGUAGAUAUCUGGAGGAACACCGGUGGCGAAGGCGACAUCCUGGACCGGUAUUGACGCUGAGGCGCGAAAGCCAGGGGAGCAAACGGG